UCGGACUCAUCAUUCCAGCCAAUCAGCAGCAGACCCUCCCUCCCUGACCUUCCCACCUCCUGGACAGCAUCCAUUUUGAAGCUGCAUUUUUAGUGAGCUGUCCAGGAGGUGUGAGGGUCUGGGAGGGAGGGUCUGCUGCUGAUUGGCUGGAAUGAUGAGUCCG